rnacentral:rRNA from 1 species
GACGGAGGAGGCAAGCGGUAUGCGGAAUUAUAGGGCGAAAAGGGUACGUAGGCGGCUGGCCAAGUCUGGGGUCAAAGGCCACAGCUCAACUGUGGGAAGGCCCUGGAAACUGACCGGCUAGAGUGAGGUAGGGGUUGCGGGAAUUCCCGGUGUAGCGGUGAAAUGCGUAGAGAUCGGGAAGAACACCUGAGGCGGAAGCGCGCAACUGGGCCUCAACUGACGCUGAGGUACGAAAGCUAGGGGAGCGAAUGGG